ACAAUUACUCAUGUGAGUAGGUGUUAGCAGAACUGGUCCAUGCAGCACAAUAAAUCAUCUGAUGGGAAGAAGGAUUUGUUUUGUAAGAACUGAGAGUGGUUGGCCUUGAUACAUAUUGUGCAAGGUCAUUUGACAGUCUAGCCAGUUAAUUUGUGUUGUAUGGGAGAAGAUGGUAUGGUAGGUAGUGAUAGUGCUAUUCCUCACAGUAAAUCAGCAUCUGAAAUCCCUUCCUGUGUCAACACAGGUGAGCUCCUCUGUUUGUUCUGAAUUGGGAUAUGAAGCAUCUCACUGCCUUGGAAACCAAAAUGCCCAAGUAAAAGGACUUUGGCUCAGUCACUCAGCAUGCAGGAACUCAACUGGAAAACUUGCUGAUGCAAAGCAAUAGAUGGCACCAAACAGUUUAUAUGGAGUCUUCCUUCUAGGAAGAGAAUCUAAGAAUUCAGCCCACCUGAUUUUGCUUU